ACGAACGCUGGCGGCAUGCCUAAGACAUGCAAGUCGAACGAACAAAUCGGUGCUUGCACCGAUACGUUAGUGGCGAACGGGUGAGUAACACGUAGGUAACCUACCUUGAAGACGGGGACAACAGUUGGAAACGACUGCUAAUACCGGAUAGGUAAUUGAUUCGCAUGAAUUAAUUAUUAAAGGAGCUUUCAAGCUUCACUUCGAGAUGGACCUGCGCCGUAUUAGCUAGUUGGUGAGGUAAUGGCUCACCAAGGCGACGAUGCGUAGCCGAGCUGAGAGGCUGAUCGGCCACACUGGAACUGAGACACGGUCCAGACUCCUACGGGAGGCAGCAGUUAGGAAUAUUGGGCAAUGGAGGAAACUCUGACCCAGCAAUGCCGCGUGUGUGAAGAAGGCCUUCGGGUUGUAAAGCACUGUUGUAAGGGAAGAACGACUAGGGUAGGAAAUGGCCCUAGUGUGACGGUACCUUACCAGAAAGCCACGGCUAACUACGUG
rnacentral:rRNA from 1 species